rnacentral:lncRNA from 1 species
CAAGCCAAGAUUCUGACUCCAAAGGAAGAGGAAGAAAGUGGACCACAUAUUGUCACGUCUUGCAGUUAUCAUUUGCCAAAGGCGUUUGGACGCUUGGCCCUAUUUCAAGGACUUCGAGCAGAGCACCGCUGAAACGCACAUCAUCACACGCACACAAUUCUCUCGUAUCCUCCACUUCCUCGGCCUGCACGUGACCAGUGAUGAGCUGCACCUUGUGUGUGACAAGUUCGUCGUUGGAAGCAAUUUCGUAAACUACCUGCUUUUUGUGAAGGCUGUGGAACCAGGAACAGGUGCUCUGGGAGACAGGAAGAGGGACUCCACGAAAGCUGCAAGGGUCAUCGAAGGAACAAAAUCGGAGCAGGUGACGGCACAGACCUCCGGAAUCGUGGACCCAAACAAGUUUCGGAUUCACCUGCAGAAGUACCUUGAGGUCUAUGGAGUCCGGGUAAAGGAUCAAACGCCGCUUCACCGUGAUUACUCAAGGGUUGCUUUUUAUUCAUAUUUUACCAACAGUAUUCUUGCUGUAGUUUGACUGUGCCACAUAUGGGUUCUUCAUGUGCAGCAUUUGAGACAGCGACUGUAUAAUUUCUCAAGUUAUUGUUUGGCCUGGUUGAGAUAGAGAUAACCUUCUGACGUGGUUCUUUCCAGCUGCAAGAGUUUAUUCGGGAUUUUGACCCUCUUCGCUCCGGCUUGGUGUCCACGUCGGUGCUUCGCCGUGCAAUCAGCAUGGCCGGCUUGCGUCCAGAGCCGAGCCAGGCAGUCUUCGAUGCAUUCGCCAGUUGUUACAAAGAUCUGCGCCAGCCAGGCUACAUACGUUACAAUGAGAUGUUGGCUCACCUGCAGCUUCCUCUAGACAAUCUCGGAUUGCGGAAUGGCUUCCACAUGCCUGUGCCUCAGCACCGACACGCUGAGGAUUUGCAAGAAGACCAGCAAGGUGUGCUCGAGAAAGUCCUCCGACACUUUAAAAACACCAUCCUGCAGCGCAGGCUCAAUGUCGAACCAUUAUUUCGAGAAUUUGAUCGGCACUACAAAGGAUGCGUUUCAGAGUUUCGACUCCAGCAGAUCAUUUCCCAGCUCAGUGUGAGGGUCAGCGAGGCAGACGUUGCUGUGCUUCUGGCUGCCUUCCCUGGUGGAACCACCAUGACACCCCAAAGCGUCGAUAAUGUCUUCAACUACCGCACUUUUUUGGAGCGACUUGAGUCAAUGGACAAGAGACCUUCACCUUAUCAGGAACGGACAGACAGGUGUUCCACAGGCAUGCGACGCGAGACCUCGCCAAACUGCAAUCGAAGACCUCGCUGUUCUUGCGUACAAGACCCUCCGCUAUGUGACGUACAACUCUGAUGAUAUUUCAUAUAAUUUUGUGAAGAGGGCAAAGAUGAAAAUGUCUGAACUUUAAAAUCUACUCUAAAUAUGGGUUUGUUUUAACAUCACUUGCAUUAGUUAGCAAAAUAUUUUUUUUUUAUUAUUAUUUUUAACUUUAACCAAUUUCACCGAUGCAGUAUUUAUCAGGGCGUUUAGCAUUUCCGGGUGUCAAAAUACAGUACUUUAGCAAAACUUGACUGUUACGUUUACAACUUCAGACGAAGUGCACUCGUCGUGGAAUUUACAAACAUAAAUGGAGCAGAAAUACAUUUGUUCAGAGAUCGAUUGCAAUGGAAUUACAAACGAUUAAAAUUACUCUAAUAAUGAAGUUGUUCGUGUCCUGACUUCACAAUACUCGAUCGUGGA